UACGGAGGGUGCGAGCGUUGUCCGGAAUCACUGGGCGUAAAGGGCGCGUAGGCGGCGCGAGCAGUCGAUCGUGAAAGUCCGGAGCUCAACUCCGGAUCGGCGGUCGAUACUCUCGUGCUUGAGCACUGUAGAGGCAGAUGGAAUUCCGGGUGUAGCGGUGGAAUGCGUAGAGAUCCGGAAGAACACCGGUGGCGAAGGCGGUCUGCUGGGCAACAACUGACGCUGAGGAGCGAAAGCGUGGGGAGCGAACAGG
rnacentral:rRNA from 1 species